rnacentral:rRNA from 1 species
CAUGCAGUCGAACGGUAGCAGGAAGUGCUUGCACUUUGCUGACGAGUGGCGGACGGGUGAGUAAUACUUAGGAACAUGCCUUUGUGUGGGGGAUAACCAUUGGAAACGAUGGCUAAUACCGCAUAAUGUCUUUGGACCAAAGAGGGCUUUCGGGCUCUCGCGCAAAGAGUGGCCUAAGUGAGAUUAGCUUGUUGGUGAGGUAAAGGCUCACCAAGGCGACGAUCUCUAGCUGUUCUGAGAGGAAGAUCAGCCACACUGGGACUGAGACACGGCCCAGACUCCUACGGGAGGCAGCAGUGGGGAAUAUUGCACAAUGGGGGCAACCCUGAUGCAGCCAUGCCGCGUGUGUGAAGAAGGCCUUCGGGUUGUAAAGCACUUUCAGUUGUGAGGAAAGGUUGAUGGUUAAUACCCAUCAGCUGUGACGUUAGCAACAGAAGAAGCACCGGCUAACUCCGUGCCAGCAGCCGCGGUAAUACGGAGGGUGCGAGCGUUAAUCGGAAUUACUGGGCGUAAAGCGCACGCAGGCGGUUAUAUAAGCUAGAUGUGAAAGCCCCGGGCUCAACCUGGGAAUAGCAUUUAGAACUGUAUGACUAGAGUCUUGGAGAGGGGAGUGGAAUUCCAGGUGUAGCGG